UACGUAGGUGGCAAGCGUUGUCCGGAAUUAUUGGGCGUAAAGCGCGCGCAGGCGGUCCUUUAAGUCUGAUGUGAAAUCUUGCGGCUCAACCGCAAGCGGCCAUUGGAAACUGGGAGGCUUGAGUACAGAAGAGGAGAGUGGAAUUCCACGUGUAGCGGUGAAAUGCGUAGAUAUGUGGAGGAACACCAGUGGCGAAGGCGACUCUCUGGUCUGUAACUGACGCUGAGGCGCGAAAGCGUGGGGAGCAAACAGG
rnacentral:rRNA from 1 species